AGUGAACGCUGGCGGUAGGCCUAACACAUGCAAGUCGAACGGCAGCACAGUAAGAGCUUGCUCUUACGGGUGGCGAGUGGCGGACGGGUGAGGAAUACAUCGGAAUCUACUUUUUCGUGGGGGAUAACGUAGGGAAACUUACGCUAAUACCGCAUACGACCUACGGGUGAAAGCAGGGGAUCUUCGGACCUUGCGCGAUUGAAUGAGCCGAUGUCGGAUUAGCUAGUUGGCGGGGUAAAGGCCCACCAAGGCGACGAUCCGUAGCUGGUCUGAGAGGAUGAUCUGCCACACUGGAACUGAGACACGGUCCAGACUCCUACGGGAGGCAGCAGUGGGGAAUAUUGGACAAUGGGCGCAAGCCUGAUCCAGCCAUACCGCGUGGGUGAAGAAGGCCUUCGGGGUGUAAAGCCCUUUUGUUGGGAAAGAAAAGCAGCAGGUUAAUACCCCGCUGUUCUGACGGUACCCAAAGAAUAAGCACCGGCUAACUUCG
rnacentral:rRNA from 1 species